UUGUGUCUGCCUGUCACUUACCGGGGAACCCGACGAAGCUGAUUCGGGAGAAGCACAAAGCCAGGACACAGAUUUGCCCACAAAUUCUCUCACACACAUUCCCCAGGCUGGAAGGUACAGCCCAUCGCAGAGCUGAUGUACCUCGAGAAAAGUGGGUUCGGGUCUUAUUGAGGGAACCAGAGAAACUAUUCUUUCCUCUCUCGCUCGGCACCGCUAACAAAACGCGCGGACUUCAGGAAAAAACAAAACCCCACUGAGUGGACUCCUGUUCCACUCGCCUGACACUCGCUGAGCGCAGCCCCCGAAAAGGGGGACACGGGGCAGAAAGGGGCGGACGCAAACGCACACCCAGACCCAGAGCCCCAGCGGAGAAAAGGGUCGAAGACCACUCCGUCUGUGUUCUCCCCAGGGCGGGCGAGGAUAAACCCGAGGCUCGUCUGCCUUCCACGAAGGGAGGGGGUGGGGAAGCUUCAAGGGGAAGGUCGUGCCCCCCACAGCUGAACUAUUUUAGAAAGGAAAGCAGAGAAAAAUCACUUUCCGGAGGAUAAAAGGCCGGGAAAGCAGCCGGCCGGACUCACAAAGUACGCGGGCCUCUCCCGUUGCGGAGCGCAGGCUCCGGACACGCAGGCUCAGCGGCCAUGGCUCACGGGCCCAGACGCUCCGCGGCAUGUGGGAUCUUCCCGGACCGGGGCACGAACCCGUGUCCCCUGCAUCAGCAGGCAGACUCUCAACCACUGCGCAACCAGGGAAGCCCCAAGGCUGGACUGUGGACAUGAUGGUAAGAGCCAGUGUUGACCAUGGGCCAUGCAGAUGAGGACAACCCUCUAGAAGAGGCAGAGCAACAAGGCAGAAGUAACCUGGAUCCCUUAAUGACCACCUGGAUUGGAGCCACCUCCCUACCCAAGACCACCCAUGAGAAAUAAAUAAAUCCUGUUGUAUCUAAA